GGGGGCGUAGCUCAGAUGAUAGAGCGCUCGCUUAGCAUGCGAAAUGCACAGGGAUCGACACACGGUGCCUCCA